UUCCUCGCUGCCGCCACCCCUCCCUCUUCUCCGCCGCCGCACCCCAUGCCCACACCUCCACAGUGGAGAGGUGCCGAAGAAGAGGAAGAAGGGUCGGUCUUCCCCUUCCUGCGGCCGCCGCCGGCCACGAUGUCUCCAUAACGGAUGGGGAGGGGCCGAAGAAGAAGCAGGUCCCUGUGAGGCCCAAGCCGAAGGAGGGGCCGGAAUCCUCGGCUGCAUCUUCUCAAGCAUAACGGGGGCGGGAUCCGCGGCGGCCAUUUGAAUGGCUGAUGAACCCGCGCAACUGCCGCUGAAAUCGCGGCGGUGAACGAGCAGAGCCGUUUGAAAUUUCUCUGUAAAAUCCCUCAUUGACCUGCAUCUGAGAUCCACCAAACACUUCUCCUUCUCCACCCUACUCUGCCUCUAACCCCUUUCCCUCCUCCGCUGCUAGGGUUUGGAGCUCGCAUCAAUGCCGCCGGAGAGAGUAGCCGCAGCUUCUCUUCGUAGCAAGAUAAUUAAGGCGAUUAGGAGCGGGAAAGAGUAAAUAAAAAUUGGAGUUGAAGCAUAGUGACAGGGAACUCUUAGAAGUAUCUAUGUUAAUAAGUUUGGGUUGUAAUAUUGCAAACUCAAGUAUUUGAUUUAGAUGCUCUGUAUUUGCUUCUUUAUGAUUAGUCGAUAAAUUUGAUCAGAUUUGGUUUAAUUUCAUGAAAUAAAAUUGUUAUCAUGA